GCCAGCGUGGCGUAUUGCUUUGAGUGUUGGACUAUGACUCUGGAGACCAGGGUUCGAAUCCCCACUCGGCCA